GGUCUGGUGGUGUAGUUGGUUAUCACGUCAGUCUAACAUUCAACGAAUCCCACUGAAUGGUUCGUCUGUUUCACUGAAGGUCUCCGGUUCAAGUCCGGGCUAGAUCA
rnacentral:tRNA from 1 species